GCGGUAGUUCCGGCGAAGCGGGUGGGCUCCCUUGCGCAGGCGCAGACGGCGAAGCUCACGUUCUCAGGAAAGGGUGGUGGGGGCCCGGGGUGCGUGAGAGGCGCCUGGGCGCAGGCGCAGACGACGGGGGUCGAGUUGGGCAGGCGGUAGGGGCGACCUGGGAGAAGGUCCCUGCUGCAGACGUGGAAAUGCAUUUUGUUCCAGUACAUCACAUUCCAGGGAGCAAAGAAUUCUUUUACAAAGCCGGGUGUCAUCAUUUUCUUAGAAGAAGAACCAUUGCAACAGGGCUCAAAGUUGACUCUGCUGGAAAGGCAAGGGACAGGGAAAUGAUGAUAACAUAAGCAGCCGGCUGUGUCAUUCCUUCCAUUUGUAUCUUUUUUUCCCAGUAAUUUGUGCCCAUGGCUUUGUUUAGAGUCUCCUGCUUGUUUACCUACUCGCUAUAUAUCUAUAUCUAUAUCUAUAUCUAUAUCUAUAUCUAUAUCUAUAUCUAUAUAUAUAUAGAGAGAGAGAGAGAGAGAGACAGAGAGAGAGAGAGAAAACCCUACUGAUAAAUCAGCGUUCCCAUCACAGAUUGCCCUUCAUUUCUAAUUAAUGGGGAAUUCUAAAGAGGGAAAGCUGUGAGCUGGAAGCAUUCCCUGAAUAGCAAGUGCAUAAGAAAUGUUUUUGUUGCAUGUAAUUUGUAUGAAGGUGCCUAAAGUAAGGCUUCAUCAAGUUUUAGUUUCAAGUUUUAGUUUAUUUGUGAAAACUGAUUUCCAAUUUAAGCCAUUUAUUAAUUCUGUUUUUCAGAGAAACUUGACCGAGCACUUGCCGUGCUUCAGGCAUCGUUCAAGGCAACAGGGUUAUGGUCUUGAAUAGGAGAGACAGAGUUCUCAUCUCUAGACAGACUGGCAGUAAGCCCGAAAAUAGAUCAAUACACAAUAUAAUUUCAGAUAGUGACUUUUUGCUACAAAGCCAAAAGUAAAUUAAGGUGAACAGAUAGCGUAUUUUUAGAGGGGGUGCUACUUGAGAUACAGACGCGAGGCUUAUAUCUUACUCAUGCAACCUGCCUUUCGAAUGGAGCUGGAGUGCUGUACUUUGCAUUGUUCUCAUCUCAGGACUGUCAGACAUUAUAGAACAAAGGAGAGAACUGGCAGUACUUGCACUGUCUCUUAAAGCUUCAGUCCAGAAAUGAUACCAUCCUUGCACAUAUUUCACUGGUCAAAACAAGUUACAAAUGUAAACUGACCUUCAAAUGGGAGAGAAUGUAGAAUCCCACCAUGUGCCCCAAAUAAGAGAAAGCCAGAAUAUGUAUGAGCAGUCCUAAUGAUUAUAACACAUGAAAACAUCUCCCCAAAAUCGCUGCCUAGAGAGGACAAUAUACUAUUCUCAUUUCCCCUAAAUUGAAAGGGGAACUGGUUAUAAAUACAGAAUAUUUUAGGAUGGUGCAGCCACAGUGAAAAAUGUAACUCGAAGGAGAGGGGUUGGAAUAGCGAUGGUGGUGGUGAUUCUGCACAUUGAGUAUUUAUUUUCAGACUGCCACGACCUUUCUACCUCAUGCUACUAUAAUUUGCAUAUAUAGUUAUUCAUGAUCCUGUAUGCUGUGGAGGGCACCAAGAUAGCAUCCUAAGCAGUGGUUUACAGAGGUAGCAACUGUGAAUUCCAGAUGCAAAGUUUGGCAUGAAGCUGGGGUUGGGAAAUAUAAUCAAAGCUCUCACAGUGAUAAAUGAGGUACAUAAUUUUAUGUCUGUCACUGGGUAGCUUUGAAAUAUUAACCACAAAAACCUCUCUGAACUGUAAAGUUUUGCAAGCAGAUAUCUCUUCUGUGUAAUGAAGGUGGCAAGAAGUUACAUCUAGAACAAAAGCAUUGCUCAUGAAGUGGAAGUGUAAUUUUGUCUUGUGACAGUAAUGCAAUAGUGUCAAAAACUCAGAUCUCCAUAAGGAAAAAAAGAUCAUCAGAAAAAGAUAAAACUAUUGUUCUUUCUUGUAAUUGGACUAAAUGGUAACUGUUAAAGUAACAAUAUUAACAAUACAUUGGGUGAUUAUAGUUUUUGGAUAAGUGAAGUCAGUAACAGUAAUGUCAUAUGAAUCAGUCAUAUUGUAUUGGAAGAUUUCUGUACUACAUGUGAAAUAGUAUAAUGCUAUUUGAAGGUGGACUUCGAUUAUUUGUGAAUGUAUAUUGCAAACUCUAGGGCAAGCAUACACAAAAAUUAAAAAGAACUAUAAUUCACAUACUAAGACCAAAUAAAAUAUAGAAUCAAAUAAAAUGCCCAAUUAACACCAGAAAAGGGGAGGGGCAGGGCCAAGAUGGCCAACUAGAAGCAGAUGCAUUCAGA
ensembl:lncRNA novel transcript